ensembl:snRNA U1 U1 spliceosomal RNA
ACUCAAACCUGGCAGGGGAGAUACCAUUGUUGUAAAAGUGGUUUUCCCAGGGUAAGGCUCAUCUAUUGCACUUUGGAUGAGCUGACCCCUGUGAUUUCCCCAAACACAGGGAAAUCAACUGCUUAAGUGGGGGGCUGUGUUUCUGGUUUAUCUAGAAUCAUUCUUUCCCCUU